GAGUUUGAUCAUGGCUCAGAUUGAACGCUGGCGGCAGGCCUAACACAUGCAAGUCGAGCGGCAGCACGGGGAGCUUGCUUCCUGGUGGCGAGCGGCGGACGGGUGAGUAAUGCAUGGGAAUCUGCCCGGUAGUGGGGGAUAACCCGGGGAAACCCGGGCUAAUACCGCAUACGUCCUACGGGAGAAAGCAGGGGGUCUUCGGACCUUGCGCUAUCGGAUGAGCCCAUGUCGGAUUAGCUUGCUGGUGAGGUAACGGCUCACCAGGGCGACGAUCCGUAGCUGGUCUGAGAGGAUGAUCAGCCACACCGGGACUGAGACACGGCCCGGACUCCUACGGGAGGCAGCAGUGGGGAAUAUUGGACAACGGGGGAAACCCUGAUCCAGCCAUGCCGCGUGUGUGAAGAAGGCUUUCGGGUUGUAAAGCACUUUCAGCGGGGAAGAAGGCAUGGCGGCUAAUACCCGCCAUGAAGGACAUCACCCGCAGAAGAAGCACCGGCUAACUCCGUGCCAGCAGCCGCGGUAAUACGGAGGGUGCAAGCGUUAAUCGGAAUUACUGGGCGUAAAGGGCGCGUAGGCGGCCUGCCAAGCCGGAUGUGAAAGCCCCGGGCUCAACCCGGGAACGGCAUUCGGAACUGGCAGGCUAGAGUGCAGGGGAGGAAGGUGGAAUUCCCGGUGUAGCGGUGAAAUGCGUAGAGAUCGGGAGGAAUACCAGUGGCGAAGGCGGCCUUCUGGACUGACACUGACGCUGAGGCGCGAAAGCGUGGGUAGCAAACAGGAUUAGAUA
rnacentral:rRNA from 1 species